GAAGGAGGAUGAUUUGAUAUCGGUUGCUUUGCGCAUCGGUUGUCGUUAUUUCAGGUUUUGGAUGAUGCGUGAUUGAAGGGAAACGCUUCUUCUCCGUGCUAACGACGUCUUCAGGGGGUUUUGUUCUUCUUCUUCUUCUUCUAAAACUCAGUCUCUGUUUAUUUUGUUUUGAACCGAUCGAACAUUGGAUUUUCUAGGGUUUGGUUUCUAAAUUGCAUAGGUUUGCUUUAUAUAUGUUCAUGCUAUUUACAUGUUGUUAUGUUGUUCCAAGUUUUGGAUGAUGAGAGUGAUGGCUUUGAUGGACACGCUUCGUCUCUGUGCUACUUCUUCAAAGGGUCUUUUGGAAGCAAACCGUGAUCCAAUCAUCACGUUUCUAAUCCAUGUUAUUGUCUUCAACCGCUCUCAUGGAUUUGUGGAGGAUGAUCCUGCGAUUGAUCAGUGAUGGCUUUGUCUGAUCGUUGUCACUCUCUUACUGAUGUUGCUCUUCUAGAGUUUGGUUUCUAAAUUGAUCAUUCAAGGCUUUUUUAUUGUGGAGGAGGAUGCUUUGAACGGUUGGCGACAGUUUUGAUGGCUUGUAUUUGUCCACUCUCGCUACAUCUUCAGAUCAUGAGGAUUUGGAUUACUGUGUGGGAGGUUCAAAGUGAAAAAACAAACAUUGUGGGAGCGUUUGAUUUCUGAGUUUAACUUUCAGAUCGUGAAGGCACUGGGAGGACUGAUAUGGUAAAUCUAAGCCUCUGGUCUGUCAUCUCUUUAAGUUUAUGUUGAAGGAGGAUGCCUUUGAUCUAUCGUUGCUCCCCCCUGUUGGCUCUUUGACAGUCUCCUCUUUCCCUUUGUUAUAUACUUACUGUUCACAAAGCUCAGCUAAUGUUUUUCUUUGCUUGUGUUAGAUCGUGGUUUGAGAGUAUAUAACUUCGAGUUUUCUGGUUACUUCACAUUUAUACUAAUGGGUAAUGGAUAUUGUUGGUGAGGUUUUGGAUUUAGGAGGAUGCUAUUAUGGGAUCAUCAGUGAUUGACUUUGAUGGAAACGCUUCUUCUCCGUGAUGUCUUCAGCGGGUCCAUUAGUUGAUGAGACGUUGUCGUUUUGGAGUAUCGUCUCAUUCCAUUCCAUCCCCUUGUCUGAAAACAAAACGGAGCGGAGGACUUGAGGAGUGAAGACUGAUCUGAGCUUUCGAUAUUGAUAAGAGGUUCCGAGCCCAACACUGUAGUCAAGUAAUGUCCAAGGAGAUGGUCCUUGUUAGCCUUCUUCAAUCGGGCUCUUACUUAAGCUCCUCUCUAAACCAGAGGAUAUCCUGUUCUUGGUGUGGGGUUUUACGGCAUCUUUGGCCAGAGCGUCGGGAUCACAGAUAUGGUGCAAGUAAGGAUGGGAGGACCUUGUUGUUUCCAUGGCGGAAAGGAGUGUCACAAACAUGGCUGCUAGCUAGCUCUACCAAGACCAUGAGCAACGUCCAAGAAGAACCACUCCAGGUUUUGUUUCAAUCAUGGUUAAGUUCAACUGCUUUUUUUUAGCCAUUCUUAUAUGUUAUUUCAGGAUAAAAGAUCCGUGUUAGAACCAAGUAGCUACAACAAACAAAGCAAGCUCAGGAAAUAACAAUUUACUCCUACCUACCAAAGCACAGAGGUCAACAACAAGGCCAUGUUCUCUAUCUUUCUUUGUGAGAGUGUUAAGUGAGAUCAUGAGAGGCUAUUCUAAUUCUUUUUUAUCUUCUUCUUGUUCAUUCAACAAUAAUCUUCGGGAUGCGGACGUCUGAGCAGAUUAGCUAGUAUGCUGACUUAUCUCCGGGAUGCGGACGUCUGAGCAGAUUAAAACUGAUUCUAUUGGAUUGAUGGUGUUUGACCAAGUACAGGUUUACAGACUGUGGCGAGUUUUGUCAAGAACCACCCGUGGCCUAACGUUGAUGCUUUUAGCGAAGUGCUGCGAAACUAUUAUCGUCUAACCGAAAGAAAGAUUUAGAUACUACUACACUGUGCUUUUUGGCUGUCUCAAGGAAUCUCGUCAUCUGCUCACAGCUGAUAUGGGACCGGGCUCUUGGACUGCCACUAGAGCGGCCAAAGAGUGUAAACAUGUCCUCCCAAAGCCCAACAAAUUUGAGAGAUAAGAGACGGAGAGAGAUCGUUCUAAUGGCAACAAGAGAGCAACAUGAUGAUGGUUCGAAUCUACUACUCAACAGAAUCCAUGAUUUUUGAGUCGAAUUUUCUUUUUAAAUUUGUUCUAGUUUCUUUAUUUUUGAUCGAGACUGAAAUUUUGGGUUUAAUAUGUUUCUCGUAUGGGUUUCUGGAGCUUCGAACCUCCAAUCCAUGGGUUCCUUAUCCCAGAUAGAGUAUCUAUCUAUGGUCCAAUAUUACUCGGCCAGGGUUCCGAGCCAACACUGCAGUCAAGCAAUGGCCAAGGAGAUGGCCUUGUUAGCCUUUUUCAAUCGGGCUCUACUUAAGCUCCUCUCUAAACCAGAGGAUAUACAUGCUCUUUGGCAACUUCUCGUCCAAAGCGUGGGAAUCACAGUUUAUGCAACUUUUGCUUUUUAAUGGUUUUUAUUUUAAUUGUUAAGUUGUCUCUUCCUACUUUGACGUUUGAUUGAGCUUAAUUCAGGUUAUGCAACUUAAUAUCAUAUUUUUUUCUUCUUGAUUGAUUCAUGUAUGGUGCAAGUGAGGAUGGGAGGACCUUGUUGUUUCCAUGGCGGAAACGAGUGUCACAAACAUAGCUGUUAGCUCUACUGAUCAAUGAAUGAGACCAUGAGUAACGUCCAAGAAGAAGAAGAAGAAGAAGAACCCCUGAGGGUUUUGUUUCAAAUCAUCCAUCACUAGUGUUUAAGUUCAACUACUUCUUUUAACCAUUCUUGUUAUUGCAGGAUAAAGUGCCGUGUUGGAACCAGUAGCUAAAACGCAAAGCAAGCCUCAGGAAAUAACAAGUUACUCCUACUGAAGCAAGCACAGAGGUAAACAAACUUCUGCUUUUCUUAGCCUUAGGGUUGAUGAUGACCCAAACAAUAACGACAUCAAUAGUAUAAUCAUCCUCACUCUUCUUCACCAUCAUGCAAGUACAGUUUCCUGUUAGACAAUUUGAUAAACGAAUGAUCACCUUCUCUUCUUUUUUCUUGUCUUGUCUUCUAACUCUUGAGUAUCGUUGAUGAAUUAGCUGGAUACUGUGCCAAGUGAGUAUCGGAGGAGGACAGACGUUAUUUGUUUCUAUGACGUUUCUUCAUCUUCUUCAACUCUUAUCUGAUUUGAUCGAGCAAGUAAAGGUAUAACAAUUCUAUUAGAAUUUUAAAUUAGCAUCUGAUGGUUCUUCUUCUUGUUCUCUUUUUGCAGAUCGUGGAGAAACUGAUUAAAACUGAUUCUAUUGGAGUGAUGGUGUUAGACCAAGUACAGGUAUUGAGAAUUUAGGGUUCUUGGAGCUUCGAACCUCCAAGCCAUGGGUUCUUUAUCCCAGAUAGAGAAGCUAUCUAUGGUCCAAUAUUACUCGGUUCCGAUCCAACACUGCAGUCAAGCAAUGGCCAAGGAGAUGGCCUUGUUAGCCUUCAAUCGGGCUCUUAACCAGAGGUCAAGGAGAUCACUGAAGGAGGUAGAGAGCAUGAACAACUAAUUCCAUAAAUGAUACCAUUCUAUGAGCCAACGUCCAAGAAGCAGGAGAAGAACACCUCCAGGGACCUGAGACGAAGUGAAAUUGAUAAUGAUGUUCUUAUUCUCGUAGUCUCACCACAUUGCUAUAGGCUGACAUCCUUGUUCGUGGUUAUGCUGGUUUGCCUUGAAGGUCUUAGACCAAGUCUUCCCAAAGAUCAUGAGGAACCAAGAUUACUGUGUGGGAGGUUCAAAGAGAAAGAAAAAUCAUUGUGGGAGUGCGUUUGAUUUCUGAGUUUAACUUUCAGAAGAUGUUCUUGCUGUGUACACACAUUCAGAUGAGAGAUCGAUGAUCCACAGAUUCUUUCCUACACGUUUUUGUUCUUAGACUUUGUCCUUUGUAACUGGUUUUUGUUCAAUGUCUUUUUAACGAGAACAUCUCUUCUCUGUUGCAGAUCAUAUGGAGGCGCCAGGGGGGACUGAUAUGACAAAUCUUUCUUCUGGUCUGUUAUAUUUUUAUGUUUCUUGGUGCUACAUCUUUUUAUAACCAUUGUCGUCAUUACAACCACAAGUUGACCGUUGCUCUGUUAUGUCUCACUUUAUCUGUAGUUGCUCCAUGUUACCUCUUUCACGGUCUCUUCUUUCCCUUUGUUAUACUUUACUGUUCACAUAUAUAAGGUAAUGUUUUUCUUUGCUUGUGUUAGAUCGUGGAGGUUCAAGGCCUUAUUGGAGGGAAGGAUGGUUUGCGUAUAACUUCGAGUUUUUGGUUACUUCACAUAUAUCUUGCUUGUUUUUUAAUUAACUAAUGGCUAUUGUUUCUUGACCUUUGUGUUUGUUUUCCAGAUAUCACUUCACUUCGCAGAUGUAAGAUUUGUCUUGCAAACGAGUUUGUUCUUCAGCCCUAGACCCUACAUUUUAGUGGAGGAGGAUGCUUUGAUCAGCUGGUGAUGGUUUUGAUGGAUAGUUUUUGUCUUUAGUGCGCUACAUCUUCAGGUUUUGGAUGAUGCUUUUAUCGAUGAGAGUGAUGGCUUUGAUGGACACGCUUCUUCUCUGUGCUACUUCUUCACAGGGUCUUUUGGAAGCAUACCAUGAUCCAAUCAUCACGUCUUUAAUCCAUGAUAUUGUCUUCAAGCGUUCUCAUGGAUUUGUGGAGGAUGAUCCUGCGAUUGAUCGGUGAUGGCUUUGUCUGAUCGUUGUCACUCUCUUACUCAUGUUGCUCAUCUAGAGUUUGGUUUCUAAAUUGAUCAUUCAAGGCUUUUUUAUUGUGGAGGAGGAUGCUUUGACCGGUUGGCGACAGUUUUGAUGGCUUGUAUUUGUCCACUCUCGCUACAUCUUCAGAUCAUGAGGAUUUGGAUUACUGUGUGGGAGGUUCAAAGUGAAAAAACAAACAUUGUGGGAGCGUCUGAUUUCUGAGUUUAACUUUCAGGUCGUGGAAUGUCGAGAAUGUGAAGGAGGUACGUAGUUCCAUUUUGUUAACUUUCCAUCUACAGUAUUCUCUGUUACCUCGUUGGUGGUUUUUCUCUGGAGGUAUGGUCAUUUUUUCUUCCCCUUUUCUCUUUUUCUCUUUCUGAUUUCAUGAUUUGCAUUUUUCUACCGUUUAAAUGCUAAUCACUUCUGUUUGGGAUGGUGCUUCUCUUUCUAUGUGAAUUUGAAUGAUGCAAGUAGAUGUUCUGUUUAGAUUUGUUUGCCUAGUUUCCUUUCAAGUCUACAAGUUGUCUCAACAGGGCUGACUGAACUUGGGGAUUCCAUCUUUUUCGGUUUAUUUGUCUUGACGCCUUUGUGUGUCUGUCAUUUCUUCUGAUUGUUAUAUGAUUACUGUGUAUUUUUAAGCUUUAAUUUCCUCAUUAGUUGCUGAUUUCAAUUGGUAUGUUUCAUUUUUUUUGGUUAUUAAUUGUCUUGUGUGUGUCUUCCAGCUUGAUUUCUUUGAUCCAUCACUUGACUCUAAUCUUUUGCAGUCUACUGGCAGUCAGAUGAAAGAUGACCAUAAGUUCUUUUGUUAUAUGGGUUUGUACUUGUUUUUUUUACCUUUAUAAGAUAAAUGUCUACUAACGUAGUUUUUGGUAUAUCUUGGAGUCUUUUACGACUUUUCUAGUCUGAGCUCAUCUAGUGCAGAAAGCUAGACAUGUUGAUUCAUGAGUCAUGACUCAUGACAGUUAUUAACAACCAGUUAGGUGGCUUUUAUGUUGUGGUGUGUGUAGAUUACUUGUUGCACCUUGUAGUCAUAAAACGGCAAGUCUGCCACAAUGAACUUUCACUUUUCUAAAUUGCUUGGGUGGUCUUUUCUUAUUUACUCGUCUGUUUUCGUGUUGAUUAAGAUUGUGGAGGAUGCUCUAAAUAUUGAUCGGUGAUGGCUUUGAUUGAUUGAGAUUGUUACACACGUUUCUCUUUUGCCGGUGUCCUAUCUCCAAAAUUCAGUUCCUGAGUAUAUUGUUUUUUUCUGUAUGUUGAUACAUAUCGUGGAGGCAAUGGGAUUUCUAUGUUGAGUUGAAUGUAUCUUCUCGCCUAUCAUCUUUUGGUUUUUUCUGAUUUCUCUGUGCUGCAUCUUUUUUUGUUUUUUUUCCCCGAAUAACACAACUGCCUGUUAUAUCAACAAUUACCUCUGUUUUAUUCGGUCUCAGUGAUCUUUGAUCUCUCGGCAUUCCAUGUUACCUCUUUGCCAGUGUCUUAUUUCUCUCUGUUUCCUUAUUAGGGUCUAUCUGUAAUUUUCUUCUGAUUGUUAUAUGUUUAUAGGGUAUUUUUAAGAUUUGAUUUCCUCAUUGGUUUCAGCAAGGAAUGAUCUCAAUUGGUAUGUUUCAUUUUUGUUAUUAUUUCUCUUCUGUGUGUCUUCCAGCUGGAUUUUUGUAUGUCUACUAACGUGGUUUUUGUAUUAAAUAUAUUGGAGUCUUUUAGGAUUGUUCUAGUAUGAGCUCAUCUUAUGCAAAAAGCUAGACAUAUUCUUGUUACACAGGUUAACAGUAAGAUUUGGACAGUGCCAUUGGGAAGUCUUCAACAUUAUUUUGUCAUGUUAUAUGCUUAUGAUUGUGUUUAUUUUUUUUUUAAUGUGAAGUGUUUAAUCCUACUCUCAUAUGCUUUUGAUGGUGGUUUAGAUGCUAAUCACUUCUGUUUGGGAUGGUGUUUUCUCUUUCUUUGUGAAUUCAUUAUCUUCGUACAUGAAUUUAUAUUAUGCAAGUAGAACUUCUAUUUGGACUUGUUUGCCUAGAUUCCUUUCAAGUCUACAAGUUGUCUCAACAGGGAUGAACUUGGGGUUCCAUCUUUGGUUGUUCAGGUGUAAUGAGCGUCUUUUUCCUGGGUUAGAUUCUUGGUAUUUAAGAGAAGUAAGCUGUGAGUUCCUCACUGGUUGCCUCUAGGAUUGAUCUCAACUGUCUACUCGCAAUGAGAUGAAAGAUGAUCAUUACAUCCUUUUAAAAUGGGUUUUCAUUCCUUCUUAGAUCUUCUGCUAUCUGUUGAUUUAUAUAUAUUGCCUGCAUUUUGAAGUGUAAUGUUCCUCAUCUACCUCGUUCAAUUCGCAUUUCUGCUUAUGCCUGAUUCUUUUGUUAAGUCUUUUUCAUAGAUAUUUCAGGUUACUACUUGGUUUCUUCCUUGUUUAACCUUUUGGUGAGCUACAUCUAUUCCUAGUUUUUUUUUUUAAUCUCAAUUUUACAUGCUUGUGUUGGUAGCUAAUCUAUUUAUGAAUUGCUUCCCAUCAUAAUAGGUAUGUUGAGUAUGUGAAGGAGCCAGACUCCCUUUUUGAUUUUUUGGCAUCGAAGAUUGAAUUAGUAUUUAUAGAUGUGGUUUUUUUUCUUCACUUCUUCUGUUUUGGUCACCACUAUAUUUGAGGGAUAUGUGAUCAGCUUUCCUUCCUUGUAGUCGCUGUUUUGGAUUCCUGCGUGUAGAUCGUUGGGUAACAAUAGUCCUGCCUUUCAGAAGUCUAGUAAACUUGUAUGUUGAGAUAUAGACGAUACUCGUUUCAUAUCCCUUGCCUUGUACUUGAUAUUAAGAGAAGAGAAAGUGUCUUCUGUAGUAGCUGCCCCUAUCCGUUUGUGUCUUUCUACAGCUUAUGUGUGAGAUCCUUGUUUAAAAACAAACAGAGGAGGCAGACAGACUAUGAAGAAUUUACAAAGAGGUUCCAGAACUUCAAUAGGAGGGCUUGCGAGUGGCAAUCUGUUGUUAUUCUUUGCCUCAGAGUUCAUCAUUGUAGCAUUGUUGAUUUUUAAUCUCUUCUUAACUGGUAGCAAUCAAAUGCAGCAGACAAUAUAACAACCCCAAACUGAACAUAAUACUCUAUUUUUUACAGUUCAAAGGCAGUGUCAAAAUUACAAAUCAUUGAUUGACUAAAAAUUAACUCCAUAAUCACUUAGUUUCCUAAAAAAUUC